ACGAACGCUGGCGGCGCGCUUAACACAUGCAAGUCGAACGGAAAGGCCUGCUUUCCCUUGUGGAUUGCGGGUCCUCGAGUGGCGAACGGGUGAGUAACACGUGAGUGAUCUGCCCCCAACUUGGGUAUAAGCCUGGGAAACUGGGUCUAAUUCCCGAUAGGACUGCAGGGUGGUGCCUGUGGUGGAAAACGAUUUUCUAGUGGUUGGGGAUGAGCUCGCGGCCUAUCAGCUUGUUGGUGGGGUAAUGGCCUACCAAGGCGGCGACGGGUAUCCGGCCGGAGAGGGUGGACGGCGGAAUUGGGACAGGGUUCAGGCCCCGACGCCAAGGGGAGGCAGGAGUGGGGAGUCAAGCAGCAGGGGCGGAAGCCUGAUGCAGCGAGGGCGUGUGGGGGAUGACGGGAUUCGGGUUGUAAACUACUUGCGAGCGAGAGGAAGCAACCUGGAUGGAAGGGUGGUGACGGUAGUGGUAGAAGAAGCACCGGCUAACUACGUG
rnacentral:rRNA from 1 species